rnacentral:rRNA from 1 species
UACGGAGGGUGCAAGCGUUAUCCGGAUUCACUGGGUUUAAAGGGUGCGUAGGUGGGCUAGUAAGUCCGUGGUGAAAUCUCUGAGCUUAACUCGGAAACUGCCGUGGAUACUAUUAGUCUUGAAUCUCGUGGAGGUAAGCGGAAUAUGUCAUGUAGCGGUGAAAUGCUUAGAUAUGACAUAGAACACCGAUAGCGAAGGCAGCUUGCUACACGAGUAUUGACACUGAGGCACGAAAGCGUGGGGAUCAAAC